CCGUCCUGAACGCGCCCGAUCUCAUCUGAUCUUUGAAGCUAAGUAGGGUCGGGCCUGGUUAGAACUUGGAUGGGAGACAGCCUGGGAAUACCCCAU
rnacentral:rRNA from 1 species